GAGGGUACAGCUCAAGUGGUAAAGUGAAUGUUUAGCAUGCAUGAGGUUCUGGGUUCAAUCCCCGGUACCUCCU
rnacentral:tRNA from 1 species